GGAGGUAUGGCUUAGUGGUAGAGCAUAGCAAGUGUGAGUGCCUGAGUUUAAACCUCAGUAUCUCAC
rnacentral:tRNA from 1 species